rnacentral:rRNA from 1 species
GUUGUCCGGAAUUAUUGGGCGUAAAGAGCUCGUAGGCGGCUUGUCACGUCGGGUGUGAAAGCCCGGGGCUUAACCCCGGGUCUGCAUUCGAUACGGGCUAGCUAGAGUGUGGUAGGGGAGAUCGGAAUUCCUGGUGUAGCGGUGAAAUGCGCAGAUAUCAGGAGGAACACCGGUGGCGAAGGCGGAUCUCUGGGCCAUUACUGACGCUGAGGAGCGAAAGCGUGGGGAGCGAACAGG